rnacentral:rRNA from 1 species
UACGGAGGGUGCUAGCGUUGUUCGGAAUUACUGGGCGUAAAGCGCGUGUAGGCGGUUAAUCAAGUUGGGAGUGAAAUCCCGGGGCUCAACUCCGGAAUUGCUUUCAAAACUAAUUAACUAGAGUUCGGUAGGGGACAGUGGAAUUCCUGGUGUAGAGGUGAAAUUCGUAGAUAUCAGGAGGAACAUCGGAGGCGAAGGCGACUGUCUGGACCGAUACUGACGCUGAGACGCGAAAGCGUGGGGAGCAAACAGG